rnacentral:tRNA from 1 species
AGGUAAUAGUUUAAUUUAAAAUAAUAAGUUGCAAGCUUAUAGUUGGCUGUAGCCUUACCUA